rnacentral:rRNA from 1 species
UACGAAGGGGGGCUAGCGUUGUUCGGAUUUACUGGGCGUAAAGCGCACGUAGGCGGUUCGUUAAGUCGGAUGUGAAAGCCCUCGGCUCAACUGAGGAAGUGCACCCGAAACUGGCGAGCUUGAGUACGAAAGAGGAUCGCGGAAUUCCCGGUGUAGAGGUGAAAUUCGUAGAUAUCGGGAGGAACACCGGUGGCGAAGGCGGCGAUCUGGGUCGAUACUGACGCUGAGGUGCGAAAGCGUGGGGAGCAAACAGG